AACGAACGCUGGCGGCAUGCCUAACACAUGCAAGUCGAACGAGACCUUCGGGUCUUGUGGCGCAAGGGUGCGUAACGCGUGGGAACCUGCCCUUAGGUUCGGAAUAACUCCCCGAAAGGGGUUCUAAUACCGGAUAAUGUCUUCGGACCAAAGAUUUAUCGCCUUUGGAUGGGCCCGCGUUGGAUUAGCUAGUUGGUAGGGUAAAAGCCUACCAAGGCGACGAUCCAUAGCUGGUCUGAGAGGAUGAUCAGCCACACUGGGACUGAGACACGGCCCAGACUCCUACGGGAGGCAGCAGUGGGGAAUAUUGGACAAUGGGCGAAAGCCUGAUCCAGCAAUGCCGCGUGAGUGAUGAAGGCCUUAGGGUUGUAAAGCUCUUUUACCCGGGAUGAUAAUGACAGUACCGGGAGAAUAAGCUCCGGCUAACUCCGUG
rnacentral:rRNA from 1 species